AGGUGCCACUGAGGACUGCAACAGCCAUGUGCUGUGCCCAGCAAACGCCAAGUGUGUGAACAACACCCACUGCACCUGCCUGGAUGGAUACCAGUCACAUGAGAAUCGCUUCUUCAAUGACACAACAGAGACCUGUGACGAUAUUAACGAGUGUUUGGGGUCGAGCCCAGCAGACUGCGGAUGCAACGCAAACUGCAACAACGUGGCUGGGAGUUACCACUGCACCUGCAUCAAUGGCUACAAGCCCAGCUCUGGGGAAGCCAACUUCACGCACGCGAGUGAGAACACCUGCCAGGAUAUUGACGAGUGUCAGGAUCCGAGCCUGGCAGACUGCGGACCCCACGCAAACUGCACCAAUGUGCCUGGAAAUUACUCCUGCAGCUGCAUCGAUGGCUACGAGGCCAGCUCUGAGAAAGCCAACUUCACACACGCGAGU
rnacentral:lncRNA from 1 species